GAACGGUUAUCUCAGUUGGAAGAGUACUCGCUUGGGACGCGAGAGGUUGCGGGUUCGAGUCCCGCAUCGUUCA